CCCAACUCCAAUAUUGCUGCAGCUGAAUUAACACAAUUAACUUUAUAUAUAUAUAAAUUCACGAGUUGUUUCAUCGGAUAUAUUUAAUGUGUGUGUGUGUGUGAGAGAGAGAGAGAGAGAGUAGUGGACGCAGAAAUUAAGUAGUAUUACCAAAUCAGCUGAGCUAUUGAAGCCUGCUGAGAUCUCCAUUAACCAAGAAUUAAUAGAUAUAUGAAAUUACCUGCAUCUGCGAUUCUGCAUGCAUGGAUUCAGAAUAUAUAUAUAUGAGAUUAUUGUGCAGCGUGUGUGUGUAUAUAUAUUAAUUAAUAUAAAUAUAUCAUAUAUGUAUACCUAGCUAAUUAAUAACCCAACCAUGCAUGUAUGUAUCUGAGAAUGAAGAACAACGCUAGCUAGCAGUAUACGUUUUUGUGUCACGGAAUU
rnacentral:lncRNA from 1 species